GUGGUAGUCGUAUAGUGGUCUGUAUGCUCGGCUGUGGCCCGAGUGGUCUGGGUCCGAUUCCCAGCUACCACC
rnacentral:tRNA from 1 species